GCGCCAGUGGUUUAGUGGUAAAAUCCAUCGUUGCCAUUCGGAAUCCGACAAGCUCGAUGGGCCCCGCGUUCGAUUCGCGGCUGGCGCA